GACGAACGCUGGCGGCGUGCUUAACACAUGCAAGUCGAACGGUAAGGCCCUGCUUUUGUGGGGUGCUCGAGUGGCGAACGGGUGAGUAACACGUGAGUAACCUGCCCUUGACUUUGGGAUAACUUCAGGAAACUGGGGCUAAUACCGGAUAGGAGCUCCUGCUGCAUGGUGGGGGUUGGAAAGUUUCGGCGGUUGGGGAUGGACUCGCGGCUUAUCAGCUUGUUGGUGGGGUAGUGGCUUACCAAGGCUUUGACGGGUAGCCGGCCUGAGAGGGUGACCGGCCACAUUGGGACUGAGAUACGGCCCAGACUCCUACGGGAGGCAGCAGUGGGGAAUAUUGCACAAUGGGCGGAAGCCUGAUGCAGCAACGCCGCGUGCGGGAUGACGGCCUUCGGGUUGUAAACCGCUUUCACCUGUGACGAAGCGUAAGUGACGGUAACGGGUGAAGAAGCACCGGCUAACUACGUG
rnacentral:rRNA from 1 species